CUUGAAACUGUAUCCUCUGAAAAGAAACAGCAGAAAGACACAUCUCUAAUUACAUUUUCCUCCAUCCCCACCACAGGUACUGUACCAAGAUUACUGUUUCCUGAGGGCUGGAUACACAUUCAGCCUUCCCAGCUGGAAAAGGCAAAGUACUUUCUCCUCAGGAUGUCCUGUUUCAAACCUGCAUUGGAAGUAGCACAAAGCCAAACCAGCCCCUUGUUUUCCUGCUUCAUCCCAGUGGAAAAAAAAAUCCCUGAAGUCAAUCUAUCAAACUCAGAGGAGACAUCAGUGAUGGAUGGAAUCCUCCUUGUGAUUCUAUUAUUUACACUCCAGGUGGCACAGAAGGAUGGACCUGCCUGGUGACCAAAUCAGUUGGGUUGCAGAAUUACAGAAAAUUGUUGAUAAACACACUCUCUCCUGGGAGCUUAUCUGGAAGCUUGAAAUGGAGCUAAUGCCCAUCUCAGGAGAAAAGCCAAACUGCACAACAAAAUGCAUGUACAGAAGGCUCUGAGCAUCCUCACUCUGAUGCGUUAUUCAAAGAACUGAAAUGAAAAAUCUGAAAUCUUCCUCAAGCACCUGCACUGACAAAUGCUGCACAUGCAUUGGUAUCAACAGAUCACACAGCUCUGCUUCAGGUGCACCAUCAGAGGGAUAUAUUUUUCUCUUCUUGUAUGAAGGAGGGAUUUCAGAGAGGGUUCCAAGCACAGCUGCUGCUGCCCCUUGGCCAGCUCUGCCCUGUGUGUGAGCACCACUGCUGGGACCUCCCAGUGUCCCACGGGCCUCGUUGGGUCAGCAAAGUCUCAGAACGUGAUCCCUAAGGAGCAAACACUGACUGCAUAUUUAAUGUUUCCAGUGGCUCGUGGAAGUUCAAACCCUUUCACAAACUUCUGUCAGCCUUUUGCUGUAUUUUCACCAUCCUACAGGCAGGACAAACCCAUGGCUGAUGCUCCACUUGAAUGAGACAACACAGAGUGCUGGGUGGGAGACAACUUCCUUUCCUGGGAGGGUGCCUGGGAUAUUUUUUCAGAGAGUUUUCUAACAAUUAAAUAAACUUCUUUCAAAAGCAAAAUAAGCCUAUAAG
rnacentral:lncRNA from 1 species